ensembl:snoRNA
GUUUCUGAUGAAGCCUAUGUUGGUAGAGACACCUGAGAGUAUUGAUGAAUGCCAACAGCUUAAAUGGAGAAAA